CACGUAGGGGGCGAGCGUUGUCCGGAUUUACUGGGCGUAAAGGGCUCGUAGGUGGCCAACUAAGUCAGACGUGAAAUCCCUCGGCUUAACCGGGGAACUGCGUCUGAUACUGGAUGGCUAGAGUUUGGGAGAGGGAUGCGGAAUUCCAGGUGUAGCGGUGAAAUGCGUAGAUAAUCUGGAGGAAUACCGGUGGCGAAGGCGGCAUCCUGGACCGGCAUUGACGCUGAGUGAGCGAAAGCCAGGGGAGCAAACGGG
rnacentral:rRNA from 1 species